rnacentral:rRNA from 1 species
UGAGUAGGCGGUUGUAUAUGUCAGGUGUAAAAGGCUAUGGCUUAACCAUGGUUAGCACUUGAAACUGUACAACUUGAGUGCAGGAGAGGUAAGUGGAAUUCCUAGUGUAGCGGUGAAAUGCGUAGAUAUUAGGAGGAACACCAGUGGCGAAGGCGAUUUACUGGACUGUAACUGACGCUGAGUCACGAAAGCGUGGGUAGCAAACA